UUUAAAUAUUCGUUUUCGGAACAGAGUAGAAUCAGUGCUUCUCUCAAGAGAAUACGGCGAUCAUCCACCACGCGAAGAGAUGCCGAUGAUCUUUAUGAAGAUUUGUUUUUGGACUAAUCUUAAAAAAUAUUUGUGACCGCGCGCAAUGCGGUUAAUCAGAAUCAGUGUUUGCUUCGUCAUAGUAUUUUGAAUAUUUUUUAGAGCGCAACAGCUCUGAUUAAAUUUAAUUAAAAUAAUCAAACGCGAAGGUAGAAUCAGUGUUUGUUCGCCGAUUAUAAUUUAUACGGACGCGUUAUUAGUUUCUUAUUUUUUAUUUUUUUUUUAUUUUAAAUAUUCGUUUUCGGUACAGAGUAGAAUCAGUGCUUCUCUCAAGAGAAUACGGCGAUCAUCCAUCACGCGAAGAGAUUUCUUCCGUCUUGAUGACAACCUUCCCUUCUCGAUGACUUCUGGGCUACAAUAAGAGUGAAGCUGUUCGUCGCAUCAUGUGGUGAGUCGCAUGCUUUUUGGUUCCUCCGGUCACUCAAUCAUGUCGUAGGAUGAAAGAUCCGAAUCGACACGAGUGAUUGGUUGUAUACGUAGAAUUUUGCACGAGCACAAUGACCGCGGGUAUUUAUUUAUAAUAAUUACCCGCGAGUAGUAACAAUUAUUUUUGUGUUUUAUUUAUUAGUUCAGGCUAGGGUCUUCUUACGCUUCGCGUUUUUGAUUGAUAUAAAAUGUUUAGUAGUUUUCUAAUGUCAAAACAUGUAAUAAUUAUUAUUAUAUAAUUAUCAAUACAAUAUCAAUACAAUAAUUAGUUUGAAUUUUUAUAAUUCAAAAUCCUUUAGAGUAACAUUUUAAGUUAUUUGAUCAAUUUGAUUAUUGCGAUUGUCAUAUAAUUAUUUCACAUGAUUUUAUUAACUUCAAUAUGAUUUACAACACUGGUAGAUAAUAAAGUUCAAUUUUUAUUCGUACAAAUAUGAAUUAAAAAUUUUGCGCAAGAAGACAUUUCGCGACAGGCAGAUUUUAGAAUCAGAGCAAUAGAUUUUGAAUAUUAUUCUUGUGAUUUUGAAAAUAUGCUCUGAUGAAGGAAUCGCCUGAGAGUAUUUCUAUUCAUGUUUCUAUUAAAUACAAUUACAAUGAAUUCCAAUUUCUUUUUAAGUUCAAUAUUAAAAAUUUUAUAUACUAAAAUUUCAAUAACUUCAAUUAAUGUUCAAUUAAUGAAAUAAAAUAUAAAAUAG